rnacentral:rRNA from 1 species
UUGAAACAUUGGUUCCUAUCCAAUCACCGAAGUUAAGCAACAUCGAGCCUGGUCAGUACCUAGAUUGGUGACCGCUUGGAAAUAACAGGUGUUGUAAG